rnacentral:rRNA from 1 species
AGUCGAGCGAAUCGAYGGGAGCUUGCUCCCUGAGAUUAGCGGCGGACGGGUGAGUAACACGUGGGCAACCUGCCUAUAAGACUGGGAUAACUUCGGGAAACCGGAGCUAAUACCGGAUACGUUCUUUUCUCGCAUGAGAGAAGAUGGAAAGACGGUUUACGCUGUCACUUAUAGAUGGGCCCGCGGCGCAUUAGCUAGUUGGUGAGGUAAUGGCUCACCAAGGCGACGAUGCGUAGCCGACCUGAGAGGGUGAUCGGCCACACUGGGACUGAGACACGGCCCAGACUCCUACGGGAGGCAGCAGUAGGGAAUCUUCCGCAAUGGACGAAAGUCUGACGGAGCAACGCCGCGUGAACGAAGAAGGCCUUCGGGUCGUAAAGUUCUGUUGUUAGGGAAGAACAAGUACCAGAGUAACUGCUGGUACCUUGACGGUACCUAACCAGAAAGCCACGGCUAACUACGUGCCAGCAGCCGCGGUAAUACGUAGGUGGCAAGCGUUGUCCGGAAUUAUUGGGCGUAAAGCGCGCGCAGGUGGUUCCUUAAGUCUGAUGUGAAAGCCCACGGCUCAACCGUGGAGGGUCAUUGGAAACUGGGGAACUUGAGUGCAGAAGAGGAAAGUGGAAUUCCAAGUGUAGCGGUGAAAUGCGUAGAGAUUUGGAGGAACACCAGUGGCGAAGGCGACUUUCUGGUCUGUAACUGACACUGAGGCGCGAAAGCGUG